GAAGACGGUCACCGACUUAGGAGCCGUUUAGGUAAACUGGUAACUGGGGCU
rnacentral:rRNA from 1 species